CAGGGCAGGGACUCGCCAUGGAAGGCUCUGGCCUUCCCUGGAGGUCCCGUGCUUGUGAGGUUAAGAGUGAGCCGCGAUGGUCACUGACCUGUGGGCAGAGAAGGACCGUAGGGCUGGAGACCUCCAUGAUAGGCUCUUUCGGUGGGGUAAUGCUCCCUGGCUCCCUGACUAGAUGAUCUCCAGAGGUCUCUUCUGACCUCAGCCGUUGUGUGAUUCUUUGGCACUUCCAUUCCUUGCUUUUUCUUCCUUGCAGCCGCUGAUGCAACUUCUGCUCCGGCAUGGCCAUACUCACCAGCAGAGACGACUGUACUGGAGACAGCCGCACCAGAGAUGACCACAGUGGAGACGACCACAACGGAGAGAAGCACAGCAGCGAUGUCCACAACAGGCAUCCACCUGCGGCUGGCCAACGGCAGGAGCGAGUGCGAAGGCCGCGUGGAGGUGUUCGACGGCAGCGGCUGGGGCA